GGACUACUGGGGUAUCUAAUCCCGUUUGCUCCCCUGGCUUUCGUGCCUCAGCGUCAGUAACUAUCCAGAGACUCGCUUUCGCCACUGGUCUUCCUUACGAUAUCUACGCAUUUCACUGCUACACCGUAAAUUCCAGUCUCCUCUCUAGUACUCUAGCAGGGCAGUAUCAAAUGCAAUUCCAGAGUUAAGCCCUGGGAUUUCACAUCUAACUUACCUUGCCGCCUACGCACCCUUUACGCCCAAUGAAUCCGAACAACGCUUGAGACCUCUGUAUUACCGCGGCUGCUGGCAC
rnacentral:rRNA from 1 species